rnacentral:rRNA from 1 species
GACGAACGCUGGCGGCGUGCUUAACACAUGCAAGUCGUACGGUAAGGCCCUUUCGGGGGUACACGAGUGGCGAACGGGUGCGUAACACGUGAGUAACCUGCCCACAACUUUGGGAUAACGCUAGGAAACUGGUGCUAAUACUGGAUAUGUGCUCCUGCUGCAUGGUGGGGGUUGGAAAGCUCCGGCGGUUGUGGAUGGACUCGCGGCCUAUCAGCUUGUUGGUGGGGUAGUGGCCUACCAAGGCGGCGACGGGUAGCCGGCCUGAGAGGGUGACCGGCCACAUUGGGACUGAGAGACGGCCCAGACUCCUACGGGAGGCAGAAGUGGGGAAUAUUGCACAAUGGGCGCAAGCCUGAUGCAGCAACGCCGCGUGCGGGAUGACGGCCUUCGGGUUGGAAACCGCUUUCAGCAGGGACGAAGCUUUUUGUGACGGUACCUGCAGAAGAAGCACCGGCUAACUACGUG